CCGCACCCAUCCAGCGGCGGUGCACCCUCCCGCUCCCGCAGUCGCACACACACACCCACACGAGGGAGGGGGAGGGAGCCUUGGCACGGGAGGAGUUGGCAGUGCACAGUCCCGCGCCGCCGCCGCGGCGGGAGGGGCGCUCCAGACCUUGGGUCAGCACGCCCCCAGAAGGAAGGGGGAACGUGCUCUGCGCCCCCCCGCCCCCCAACCCCCGCCUAGCCCCUUCACAGCAAAUGCGCUUUUUGCCCUGAAGUUGUGUGAGACCGACCUUAAACUUUCUCCGACCCUAUCUCGGGAUGCUACGGCUCAGGUCGUGGUGGUUUCGGGAACCUCAAGACAACAUUCCCCAGCUGACCUUUGGGAACUUUAACUCGGGUCGUCAUGUACGGAAAGGUAGUCUAUGGGGUACGCAGAAUGGAAAAGGGCUUCCACAUCAGUCGUGUCCGAGGACGCUCUCCAACUUUUGAUGUCCCUGGAGAGUUUCUGAUAUUUCCCUGGAGAGUUUCAGGUAAGUCACAGAUAAGUCACUGCGAAGAGGGGGUGUCACCUUCCCUGGACCCAGCGCUAAAUGCUGCUUCCCCACCCCCACGUUCAUAUACACACCCCCUCUUCGCUCCCUCCAAACAGUUAUCACAACUCUGUACAAACUGAUACGGUCCCUAGCGGGCAAAAGGGACUGGAAAUGAACGUCGCGGGGUUAUCAGCGCCGAUCUGUCAGCGGCAACUCGCGCGGCCGCAGGCUCGUCCGCUGCAGGAGCCGUGAUAUAUGUCUCGCUCCCUUUCGCUUACAGAAAGGAUUUCUUCCGACAGACGUGACCCCAGAAGGCUGCCGAGGGAGACUUUAGGACAAGAGGCGUUGUUUUUUUAGGGAAGGAAGAGGAGCCUGUGCAGAGUUGAACUGGGGUGGAGAGGUGCCUUGUAAAGUAUGGUUUCCAGAGAUGGUGAGACCUCGUAGCUAAGCGUUGUUUCCUCUGCACGUAACUGUGAGUUGUGAACUUGUGGCUCCUGGGGGAGCGGGACAGGGCCUGGCAGUGCGGGGGAGGGGGCAAGGAAUUCAGGAAGUUGGCGAGAAUUCUUCGUUUUUCAUUCUUCGUUGUAAAUUGCUUCUAAACACUUCUGAAUUUUAAAUUGCUACCGAGAAGGUCCAGAAACCGUUCUCAUCCAAUUUAGUCACUUUUAUUACGUUCCACUUUGCCUCCCCCAAUCACUGCGGCGGCUCCCAGUUUCAGCGUGGCCGCAUUUGGAAAAGGCUGAAGGUAGAAAACUCUGGAAUGGAGAGGCUGGCGACUGGAGCAGGAUCCAGGGGCUUUAAAUUUUAACCUGAAUGCGAUCGAAUGCGCGACUCCCAGAAGAGAUAGCCAGGCGUCCGCCCGGCCGCUCAACCCCCGCCAGGACUCGGAAUGCCUUGCUUUUGGUUCUUUUCGUGAGUUCCGACCAAAUGUUUAAGUGGACUGGGUUUUGCAGAAGCUCAUUUGUAAGCACUGACGGAAAUGGGUUGUGGGCAUUUGAUUUCCUUUGAUUCCAACGUUUUGAAAUAAUGUUUCUCGGAUUUGCUAUUCGAAGCAAUUUUCUAAAAACUCAUAUCUUAUUUGCUAAAAAUAAACUCUUUGGCUCAGUUUGUGUCCAGGCUGUGUACGGCCUCCAACCCUGAGCCCCGAGGAGAUCGAGCCCUGGCGCGAGCCUGAUCUCUGUCCUGUGUGUUUCUUUGUAUUUGCAAGUACAAGGAUGUCUGCGUGGAUAUCCCUGGACACUCGAUACCCCCCGGGGACCUGCUUUUCCCGCAGCUCCGCAGACGCGGCGGGAGGGCGCGCUGGCCCCGGCGCUGCUGGGACAGAGGUGAGCAGCGGGGUGGACAUUGACCGAUUCGACAACGUUCGGGCUCUAAGGGCUCGGGAAGGGACCCGGCAUUUUACCCUCCAGAUUCCCAAUCUAUUUUUAAAAAUAAUGUUCAAAACAUAUGGGAAAAAUAAGUGAUUGCUCCUUUUCAUGGUCACAGAUUGUAUUUAUUUUUUCAGACUGGUUUUCCAACCUAACGAGGGAAUGGGUAGUGAAUGUUGUUGUUGUUGUUGUUGUUUAUGUUGGUUAAUUUCGAAAUAAAACUGUUUAACUCGUACAGUUGAUUCAGACAG
rnacentral:lncRNA from 1 species